rnacentral:rRNA from 14 species
CGUGCCGUGAGGUGUUGGGUUAAGUCCCGCAACGAGCGCAACCCCUGUCGUUAGUUACCAGCACGUUAUGGUGGGGACUCUAGCGAGACUGCCUACGUAAGUAGUGAGGAAGGAGGGGAUGACGUCAAGUCAUCAUGGCCCUUACGGCCUGGGCUACACACGUGCUACAAUGGCCGGUACAGAGGGCAGCUACCACGCGAGUGGAUGCGAAUCUCGAAAGCCGAUCUCAGUUCGGAUUGGAGUCUGCAACUCGACUCUAUGAAGCUGGAAUCGCUAGUAAUCGCGCAUCAGCCAUGGCGCGGUGAAUACGUUCCCGGGCCUUGUACACACCGCCCGUCACACCAUGGGAGUGGAUUGCACCAGAAGUGGUUAGUCUAACCUUCGGGGGGACGAUCACCACGGUGUGGUUCAUGACUGGGGUGAAGUCGUAACAAGGUAGCCCUAGGGGAA